rnacentral:rRNA from 2 species
AAUGAACGCUCGCUGUGCCCUAAUACACGCGUGGGGAGGGGGAUGUAGCAAUACUUUCAGUAGCGAAUGGGAGAGAAACGGGCCCUAACCUCCCUUUAAGACUGGAGAUAACUUUGGGAAACAAAUAGCUUAUCCGGGAUAUAGUUUUUUAUCGCAUGAUGAGUAAUAGAAAGGAGCUUCACAGCUUCUCUUAAAAAUGGGGGUGCGGAACAUUAGUUAGUUGGUAGGGUAAUGGCCUCCCAAGACGAUGAUUUUUUAGCCGGCCCGAGAGGCUGUACGCCCACACUGGGUCUGAGAUACGGCCCAGACCUCUGCGGGAGGCAGCAGUAAGAUUUUUCCCACAAUGAGAGAAAGCUUGAUGGAGCGACACAGCGCGCAGGAUGAAUCUCUUCGGAAUGUAAACUGCUGUUAUGAGGGGAGAAAAAAUAGAAUAGGAAAUGAUUUUCUCUUGACUGUAUCUUAUUAGAAAGCGACGGCAAACUAUGUCACAGCAGCUGCGGUAAUACAUAGGUCGCAAGCGUUAUCCGGAAUUAUUGGGCGUAAAGCGUCCGUAGGUUUUUUGCUAAGUCUGGAGUUAAAUUCUGAAGCUCAACUUCAGUCCGCUUUGGAUACUGGCAAAAUAGAAUUAUAAAGAGGUUAGCGGAAUUCCUAGUGAAGCGGUGGAAUGCGUAGAUAUUAGGAAGAACACCAAUAGGCGAAGGCAGCUAACUGGUUAUAUAUUGACUCUAAGGGACGAAAGCGUGGGGAGCAAACAGG